ensembl:lncRNA
GUGUGAGAGCCCCAGUGUGUGUACUGUAUGUGUGAGAACCCCAGUGUGUGUACUGUAGGUGUGAGAGCCCCAGUGUGUGUACUGUAUGUGUGAGAGCCCCAGUGUGUGUACUGUAGGUGUGAGAGCCCCAGUGUGUGUACUGUAUGUGUGAGAGCCCCAGUGUGUGUACUGUAUGUGUGAGAGCCCCAGUGUGUGUACUGUAUGUGUGAGAGCCCCAGUGUGUGUACUGUAGGUGUGAGAGCCCCCGUGUGUGUACUGUAGGUGUGAGAGCCCCAGUGUGUGUACUGUAGGUGUGAGAGCCCCAGUGUGUGUACUGUAGGUGUGAGAGCCCCAGUGUGUGUACUGUAGGUGUGAGAGCCCCAGUGUGUGUACUGUAUGUGUGAGAGCCCCCGUGUGUGUACUGUAUGUGUGAGAGCCCCAGUGUGUGUACUGUAUGUGUGAGAGCCCCAGUGUGUGUACUGUAGGUGUGAGAGCCCCAGUGUGUGUACUGUAGGUGUGCUUUUGGAUCCCCUUUUUCCAUUACUUGAACUCUACUUGGGCAAUAACAUGUUUUCUCUGCAUUGUUGCCUUUUCCUCUCCUCUCUUUCUUCUCCUGCUUUCUGAGGUACUGUGCUUUAAUCGUACAAAACCUUACAAGACAGAAGCUUUAGCUAGAGUCGUGUCUUCCUUAUGCAGCUGGGCCUUUAUAUUCAGAUUCUGCUUUCACUAGAAUGUCUUUGUUUAUCACUUUCCACAUUUCUUCCCAUUUUGUCUCAUCUCUCCUGAAAGGGCCUUAGUACUCCUUAAGCUGCUCAUCCAAGUUUCAGUUUGUUUAUGUAUUAAUGUAUUUGUAUGUAAGUAUGUAUGGUUUACAUUUGAAGUUACAAGUCAUAUCACCUUCUGGAAAAAGGCUUGAUAGAAAGCUGGAUAACAGCUAACUCUGCUUCAGGCUGUUUGUGUGGCCUGCUAACACUGAGCCAGUGUUACCAAGCAGCUCUAAUGCCCUGGACAAGAGCAAGAUAACAGCUAGCUAAGUGGUAGUGCUUUUUUAA